CAACGUGGGUCUCUUUUAACAAAAGUGGUGGAGCUGAUUGACCCACUGACAAAUCAGUGGGAUGCCCAGUUGGUCGGCCAAACCUUCUGUGUGGAAGAUGUGAAAGAGAUCUUAAAAAUCCCUAUUAGAGAGCAGUUUGAGGAUUUUGUAGCUUGGCAUUUCGACAGCAAGAGCUUGUUCUCGGUCCGAUCUGCUUACAAAGUUCAUGUGAGUCUGGUUCAGAAUCAGAAGGUGAGGCAACGAGGGGAAGGAGCCACUGGCAGUGCAGAUCCGAGCAAUUUUUGGCGAGAUUUAUGGAAGAUGCGAUGUCCAGGUAGACUCCAUCACUUCAUGUGGCGGCUUGCCCAUAAUAGCCAUCCAGUACUGAGAAAUGUUGAGCGGAUUGGGAUUGAGUUAAAUACUGAC
rnacentral:rRNA from 1 species